GGAUUAGAUACCCUGGUAGUCCACGCCGUAAACGAUGUCAACUAGCUGUUGGGUAUAUGAAUAUACUUAGUGGCGCAGCAAACGCGAUAAGUUGACCGCCUGGGGAGUACGGUCGCAAGACUAAAACUCAAAGGAAUUGACGGGGGCCCGCACAAGCGGUGGAGCAUGUGGUUUAAUUCGAUGCAACGCGAAGAACCUUACCUACCCUUGACAUACAGUGGAUUUAGCAGAGAUGCUGAAGUGCCUUCGGGAACACUGAUACAGGUGCUGCAUGGCUGUCGUCAGCUCGUGCCG
rnacentral:rRNA from 1 species